CAUAGCCUGAAAACGAUAUUUAAUCAUUCAAAUGACCUGUCAGUGCUCAACAUUGGCAAAGAAACUUCUAAAUCAACUGGCACAAAAUAACAGCAGUUUCUCUUAAAACUGUUACGAAAGGACCUGCAAUUUUGCAGCUACCAUCCUAAAUUCAUCCCAAUCCAUUUCUAUAUAUAUCCGUUUCCUUUUGCUCUUUUCAUUACCUAUUUUAGGGUUUUUCCUCUCUUUUUCUUGUUUUUCUUUUUCCUGCAAACGAAAUCUUGGGGUUUUCUAUUCUUUUGCUGCAAAUAAAAUCGAAACCAUUUAUUUUUUGCUUGGCCUGUUCUGUCUCUGUCCGAUCAGAAAAUAUUAUUUGGUGUUCAUUCCAUUUUGUGUUUUUUUUUUUUUUAAUUUCAGUAAUAUUCAAGGUCCCAGAUUUGAACAUGCUUUGAGGACUGUAAUGAUUUUUUAAGCAAAAUUAGCACACACCAUAAGUUCAUCUUUAAGUUGUUUUCCAGAUUAGGUAGAUUAGGUUUCAAAUAAGUUGCGCCACACCCCAGAGCAAAUCAGAUCCCUUGAAAGGUCACGCCCAAUCGAGGUUUUUCAAACAAGUAUUAAUUAAUUGGUUGAAGGUAUAUUGAAUUCUUUAAACCUUUUUUGUAAUACGAGUCCAGGGUUUGUUUCGUUUUGGGUAGACCUUAGAAUUGGAAUUAAAUGAAAGGGCAUAAAAUGGGAUUUAUGGAAAUGGUGGAAGUUCUUUGAGGGCGUGGAGGUUGAUAUAUGAGUGUGAUUGAAAUGCAAUCCAUGUUGCAGUCUCUGGUUGCCCUAAUGAAUUGGGAAUGAGGAGAGAUAAUAUUGCUGAGAGGUUUUGCAUAUGUACGUGAAUUGGGGAAGAGGAGAAAUAAUAUUGCUGAGAGGCUUUACAUAUGUACGUCUUACAGUUGAGAUGCUGUGAAUGUGAUACAGAUGUUAGUCAAAUGAAGAUCAUAUCGAUGAUGGUGAAAAUGAAAAAGAUGCUGUUAUUUAUAGCGGUUUGAUGAUAAUAAGUUUCCCAGCAGUAUUGGUGAUGCAGACAGACAGGAAUGAAGGUUGAAUUUCUGACACAAGAAAUGAAGAAGAAUCACAAAUUUUAAAAGAGGUCAUCGGGAUGAAAGAGAUCCUUGCAAAUCAGGAUGAGGAAAGAGAAUCGGUUGCAGAAGCACAAGUCAAAAACUAUUAGCUUUAUGUCGAAGAAGCUUGUCAGAUGGAAGCAUAUUUGAUUUUUAUAACAGCUUUAUGGAUUUAAACUGCUGGAAAUGUUGCUGUGGCUGCAAUAACAGGAACAUUCUGUUUCACCAGCAAGUGCUGACAAUCAUGUAAGAUCAUUUCAUGGUAAGCCAUAUACUCAUAUAGCCAAAAGGUUAAGUUCUCUACGGGUCAGUGCUGUUCGGGGUCCCUCGGUUGUUUCCCUUUUUUCUCUAAAGUUCAAAAUGAGAUGACAGGAAAUGAAAAUUUUACCUCAUCCCUACUUGUAAGAGUGUCUUUAUCCUAAAGACCUCUUUGACAAAUUGAGAUUCUUCCUCGAUUUUUUUUGUCAGAGCUUCAACCUUCUCAACCUGUAACUUUGAUCCUAUUAUUGCUUUUGGCGACCUUAUUAUUACUGAAACUCUUAUUAAUACCACCAUCAUGUUUAUUUUCCAUUAUCCACAUGAUCUUCAGCAGCGGCACCUGAGAGAUCUUGAUGUGUAAAGCAUCUCAGCUCUCUUAUCUCUCCUCUUCCUUAAUUCGUGAGGGCAAUCAGAGGCUGCAACGAGGAUCGCAUAUUCAAUCACACUACAUAUAUCAGCGUCCAUUUUUUCGUAGAUCCUAUUUUAUGUCUUAUCAUUAACUUGAAUUUUGAGGCCUGCUCACAACAGAACAAUGUCUGGAGUCAAUGUUAUGGACGAGGAUUAAAGAUACCGGUUUGAAAAAUCCGAAGAUCAGGACCAUUGUAGUAGGUGUGUGCUAAUUUUGUCUAUUAAAUCAAUACAAUCCUGAUUUUUUUUCCAUUGAUCUGGUUUUGGGUAUUAUUGAAACAAAAUGGGAUGAAACCUAGAAUCCAAAUAUUUUGUGUAUUGGAUAAUACAAGAUUAAUGGACAUAUGAUACGAAGUGAUUGAUUUA